AUUGAACGCUGGCGGCAUGCCUUACACAUGCAAGUCGAACGGUAACGGGCCUUCGGGUGCCGACGAGUGGCGAACGGGUGAGUAAUACAUCGGAACGUGCCCGAUCGUGGGGGAUAACGAGGCGAAAGCUUUGCUAAUUCCGCAUACGAUCUACGGAUGAAAGCAGGGGACCGCAAGGCCUUGCGCGGACGGAGCGGCCGAUGGCAGAUUAGGUAGUUGGUGGGAUAAAAGCUUACCAAGCCGACGAUCUGUAGCUGGUCUGAGAGGAUGAUCAGCCACACUGGGACUGAGACACGGCCCAGACUCCUACGGGAGGCAGCAGUGGGGAAUUUUGGACAAUGGGCGCAAGCCUGAUCCAGCCAUGCCGCGUGCAGGAUGAAGGCCUUCGGGUUGUAAACUGCUUUUGUACGGAACGAAAAGCCUUCUUUUAAUACAGGAGGGUCAUGACGGUACCGUAAGAAUAAGCACCGGCUAACUACGUG
rnacentral:rRNA from 1 species